rnacentral:rRNA from 1 species
UACGUAGGGGGCAAGCGUUGUCCGGAAUUAUUGGGCGUAAAGAGCUCGUAGGCGGUUUGUUGCGUCGGCUGUGAAAUCCCGAGGCUCAACCUCGGGUCUGCAGUCGAUACGAGCAAACUAGAGUGUUGCAGGGGAGACUGGAAUUCCUGGUGUAGCGGUGAAAUGCGCAGAUAUCAGGAGGAACACCGGUGGCGAAGGCGGCCAUCUGGGAAGAUACUGACGCUGAGACGCGAAAGCGUGGGGAGCAAACAGG